CGGAGGGUGCAAGCGUUGUCCGGAUUUAUUGGGUUUAAAGGGUGCGUAGGCGGCCUUAUAAGUCAGUGGUGAAAGCCCAUAGCUCAACUAUGGAACUGCCAUUGAUACUGUAAGGCUUGAGUACAGACGAGGUAGGCGGAAUUGAUUGUGUAGCGGUGAAAUGCAUAGAUACAAUCAAGAACACCGAUUGCGUAGGCAGCUUACUAGGCUGUAACUGACGCUGAGGCACGAAAGCGUGGGGAGCGAACAGGAUUAGAUACCCUGGUAGUCCACGCUGUAAACGAUGAUUACUCGAUGUUGGCGAUAAACUGUCAGCGUCUUAGCGAAAGCGUUAAGUAAUCCACCUGGGGAGUACGCCCGCAAGGGUG
rnacentral:rRNA from 1 species